AACCAGAUUGAUUCUGUCUGACGUGGAUGCUAGUCUCAUAGGUUAAGCCAUGCAUGUGCAAGCGAAGCGUAAGUGGAGCGGCGCAAGGCUCAGUAACGGGCGAGUAUUUGAUCUCCUAGAGUGGAUAUCCUCUGUAACCGGAGGGCAAAACACAAGAUGAGCGAUUGACGAGCUCGUUCGUUUAACGAAUAGUGUAGGGGAGAGUAAGAAGCCAUCCCAUCAGUUAGUAAGUAGGGUAAGGGCCUACUUAGACGAAGACGGGUACGGGGAAUUAUCGUUUGAUUCCGGAGAGGGAGCCUGAGAGACGGCUACCAGGUCCAAGGACAGCAGCAGGCGCGAAAAUUACCGCAGCCUGCGUUCAGGGCGGUAGUAAGGAGACGUGAAAACAAUGUGCGGGCAAAAAACGCACUAGAUACAGGAGGACAAGACUGGUGCCAGCACCCGCGGUAAUACCAGCUCCUGGAGUGUCUAUGAUGAUUGCUGCAGUUAAAGAGUUCGUAGUCGAAGUGGUUAUAACGGCGUAACAGGCCUUCUCUCAAGGAGGGUUAUGCGCCGUGAUUCCAUGGAAUAAGGAGCGUUUAGGGGCCAGGUUAUUAAGCGACGAGGGGUGAAAUCUGGUGACUCGCUUAGGAGCAACAGAGGCGAAAGCGCUGGCCAGGAGCGAAUCCGAUGAUAAAGGACGUAGGCUAGAGGAUCGAAGACGAUUAGAGAGACCGUUGUAGUUCUAGCAGUAAACGAUGCCGAUACCGUGGUGCGGAUAGGCGACGCGGAAGAAAAAUCGAGUAGGGCCCUGGGGAGAGUACACGCGCAAGCGAGAAAUUUAAAGGAAAUUGACGGAAGAACACCACAAGGAGUGGAGUGUGCGGCUUAAUUUGACUCAACGCGGGACAGCUUACCAGGCCCGACGGCCGGACGAGUGUUGUACACGAUAGGUCGAAGAGUGGUGCAUGGCCGUUACGACGAGUGAGGUGACUUUUGGGUUAAAUCCGGGAAGUAGUGAGACCCCUACCGAAAGGGACAGGUGCCGAAAGCACAGGAAGGAAGGGUCAAGAACAGGUCAGUGAUGCCCUCAGAUGGUCUGGGCUGCACGCGCACUACAGUGGUCAUAGAAAUGAAACGAUAGAAUUAAAGAUGAUCGAGAGGGAAUGAGCUUUGUAAGAGGCUCAGGAACGAGGAAUUGCUAGUAAUCGCGGACUCAUUAAGACGCGAUGAAUACGUCCCUGUUCUUUGUACACACCGCCCGUCGUUAUCGAAGAUGGAGUCAGGCGCGAACAAGCGAGAGCGAGUGAGUGCAGGAUUCUAGAUGUGAUACAAGUCGUAACAAGGUAGCUGUAGGAGAACCUGUAGCUGGAUCAGAA
rnacentral:rRNA from 1 species